AACGAACGCUGGCGGCAUGCCUAACACAUGCAAGUCGAACGAGACCUUCGGGUCUAGUGGCGCACGGGUGCGUAACACGUGGGAAACUGCCCUUUGCUUCGGAAUAACAGUUAGAAAUGACUGCUAAUACCGGAUGAUGUCGAAAGACCAAAGAUUUAUCGGCAAAGGAUGAGCCCGCGUAGGAUUAGGUAGUUGGUGGGGUAAAGGCCUACCAAGCCGACGAUCCUUAGCUGGUCUGAGAGGAUGAUCAGCCACACUGGGACUGAGACACGGCCCAGACUCCUACGGGAGGCAGCAGUGGGGAAUAUUGGACAAUGGGCGAAAGCCUGAUCCAGCAAUGCCGCGUGAGUGAUGAAGGCCUUAGGGUUGUAAAGCUCUUUUACCAGGGAUGAUAAUGACAGUACCUGGAGAAUAAGCUCCGGCUAACUCCGUGCCAGCAGCCGCCGUAAUAC
rnacentral:rRNA from 1 species